CCUGUGUGUCUUGUCUUCCUCACCGAUCCACCCAUCUAAUCCCACACAAGCCGCCGCGGAACCCGCCGCCGUUUCUUCCCCAUCGGGCGCCCCCGCCGCGGAACCCGCCGCCGGCGAAGGCCGCCCCUCCCUUGCCCUUCUCGGCUUCGCAUCAAAACCCUCCACUCCCAGCCCCUCCCACCAACUCCCGGCUCCCCCUGAUCGGGCUCGAGCUCUCGGAGACAUGCCUCACGCGCGCUCCGAUCUGGGGCCGGAUGAUGUUGAGGUAGCGGAGUGCUGCAGCUCCGGUGCUUCCUACGCGAGGAAACGCAUGAGGCUGCUGGCCAACAGCAUGGGAGAAACCCUAGCCUGUUCCGUGUCGGCCUGCGACGAUGACCCACGGGGGCAAUCGCUUGACUGGUGUUCGGAGCGGCAUCGAGCUGCUUCCUGUAGCGGCGAUGGCCAUACGCGAAACACGGGCCUGUUCGCUGCAAUGCAGGAGAACCUUUGUUCCGUGGAUAACGGCGGUGCGAUCUGUCCGCAGUCUGUGGUAGGCCAUUCAGGCGGCGAGAAUGGGACGUUGAAUGCGUAUCCGCAGCAUCAUCAGUCUUUGGAAGGCUGCAUGUAUAUGAAUGAAAAUGGACAGAUGUGCGGGCCUUACGCGCCCAAGCAGCUGUAUGAGGGGCUGUCGACUGGUUUCUUGCCUCAGGAUCUUGCUAUCUAUGCUCUUGUUGGUGGGAAAAUGGUCAAUCCUGUACCCUUGAGCUUACUGGAACAGUUCCUUUCACAAUUGAAUUCCGGUGUUGCGGUCUCCCUGCCGAGUGAAUCGAAGGAGAAUAAGACAGUUGCUCGUAUUGAUAAAAUGGCGCUUCCGGAUGUUCUCACAAGUGAAGAACCGUGCUGGAUGUUUGAGGACACAGAAGGCUGCCGUCAUGGGCCACAUUCUCUUGCUGAACUUUCUUAUUGGCAUCAUAGCAGCUAUCUCCAAGAUCUUUCAAUGAUUCACCAUGUUGAUAGCAAAUUUGGUCCAUUUACACUUGUCUCACUAAUUGAUUGGUGGACUGGAGGUCACUCUGAGCAUUCAGAAGCUACGGAGAAUGACUCUGGGUCAUUCAGUACCUUAAUGAGUGACAUAAUCGAUGAUAUUGGUCAUCAGCUCCAUACCGGUAUAAUGAAAAGAGCCCGCAGGAUUAUAGUUGAUGAAAUAUUCAGCUCUGUACUUCCAGAAAUUAUUGCUGGUAUGAAGGCGAAGAAGCAAUUAGCUGCGAAAUCUACGAGUCAAGCUGUUAAGCCUGACAAUGUUAGCAGCAAGAAUGCUUCAGCACUAAAGGGCAAGAUUGAUGCACGAUCUUCUAUUCACAAAAAAGGAAACUCAUAUAAUACAAUACGAGCAACUCCUUCCAUGGCUGUUCAAUCAAUUGCAGUGCAUGCCAAAUUUGCUGAUAUUUUGUCAGAAGUUUGGCAAACAAUUUAUUAUGAAUCCAUGAAGAAUAUCUGGGACGAAGUAAUGUAUGAUCCUGUUAUGAACUACUGUGGUGGAUGGCUUAAAAGAAAUCACCAGUUGAGUCUUCCCUGUACAAUUGUUCCUGGUGCCCCUGAGAAUAGAAACAUGCAAGAAACUGAUGGGUUGUCACUGAAGGUAAUAUGUGAUCCUGAGGCUAUUGAGUGCGACAUGGAUUUCCCACCUGGAUUUGGGCCAAGUAUAGAGUGCCCUGAGAGCUCUCUCCCUCCAUUGUCAUUGGAUGUUGUUUCUUGUGCUGACCAAAUUAGUGGGAAGCCCAAAUCAAGUUCCACUAUAUUUAUUGGCCCCUUAGCCGGGGUCCAGAUAAUGCUGGCGAAUGAACUAUACGUUGCUGCAAAGGAAACUUUGUUUCACCAUUUCAGGGAGGUUAUUGCAGAGGAGAUAACAAAUUGUUUAUGCAUUGGACUUGAAGAAAGCACCGAUCAAGAACGAAUUCGUACCCCUGUUCAUGCACCGGAGUUGCCUAGUUCUGCUUCAGUCCAUGAAACACACAUUUCUCCUGAAUUGGAUAUGGAUAAGUUAUUGAAUGUUGCUAAAAUGGAUAUUGAUACAAUGGACAGUUCUGCUGAAAUAGCUCUAGAUGAAGUGUUUGUUGCUGCUGAAUUGGCUACAGAUACAAUACCCAGUCCUGCUGACAUGGCUACAGAGGAAACAUCAUGUGUUGCCAAAGUGGCAACAGAUAAAAUGCUCACCUCCCAUGCCGAACAUCACUCCCUUUCUGCAUCUUAUGCUAGUAUAUUUGAAAAGCUGGAUGUCUGUGAAUCGGAUGAAUUGGAUGAGAGUUUUGACGAGGUGCCUCCUGGAAUGGAGACUGGCUUAGCUUCUGUUGUGCUCAUGGACAAAAGCAAAUAUCAGCCCUCAAAAUCAGUCAACUCUGUGCCUGUUAUUUCUAGAUAUAUUACCUUGGCUGUAUGCCGGCAAACAUUGCAUCAAGAUGCAAUGAAAGAGUGGGCAUCUUUCCUAUCAGAUACUAUUAGCGAGUGCUUUGAUUCAUGGUAUACCAUGGAGAAUGUUGUGCCCAAAAACAUUGAUGGAUCAUUAAGGCCGAAAGAAUUUACGUACUACAGGAAGAGAAAGUUAAGAAAAAGCUCUGAAGUAGUGUCGUCCAAGAAACCAAUGGAAGUCCCAAUGGAUGAGCAGCUUUCCAAGCCUCUAUCUGAGCUUGUUGAACGGAAAGCUCAUCUAAAAAAUGUCCAGGGAUCAAGGAAGGGUGCGAAGUUGAAGAAGCCCUCCAAAAUACAGGCCAAAACUCUUGAUAAGGAAGCCCGCCGUUUGAAUUCCAAACUGGAUUUGAAGCGGCCUUCCCAUGACGUGCCAAAGAGUAAAUCUUCUAAGGAGGUCCAUGCUUUAAAUAUCGAACAGGAUUUGGAGCGGCUUUCCAAUGAUGUGCCAAAGAGGAAGUCUUUGAAGGAGGUCCGCACUUUGAAUAUCGAACAGGAUGUGAAGCGUCUUUCCAAUGAUGUGCCAAAGAGACAAAGGACACCUCUUCUUAUUAAGAAGCAUCUUGUUGAUAAGAAGGUUUCUAUGGAGAACGAUAGUGUGGCCACAAAGCUUGUAAAGAAAAGAAAGCACAAGAACAUCUCUAGUGAUUCCAGUCAAAAGGUAAAGCCAUUGGUUUUAUGUCCAGAGUCAGAUGGCUGUGCGAGAGCUUCCACCAGUGGAUGGGAGUGGCGUGAUUGGGCACGCAACGCCACUCCAUCAGAAAGGACUCGUGUGAGAGGGUACCGUGUUAGGAGUAUUCUUUCUACUCCAGCUAAUAGUUUGUGGAAAAAUUCACAAGUUAAAGGUACAUCUGCGAGAACAAAUCGGGUGAAGUUACGGAACCUGUUAGCUGCUUAUGAAGGCGCUGACCUCCUGAAAAUUGCCCAAUCGAAGGCAAGAAAGAAGCGGCUACGUUUUCAAAGGAGCAAGAUCCAUGAAUGGGGCCUGGUUGCCCUUGAGUCGAUUGAUGCAGAAGACUUUGUUAUUGAAUAUGUCGGAGAAUUGAUCCGUCGGCCGGUCUCGGACAUACGUGAGGCUCAAUAUGAAAAGAGUGGAAUCGGAAGCAGUUACCUUUUUCGCUUGGAUGAUGAUUAUGUGGUUGAUGCUACUAAGCGUGGUGGUUUAGCGAGAUUCAUCAACCAUUCGUGUGAGCCAAAUUGCUAUACGAAAGUAAUCACUGUUGACGGACAGAAGAAGAUUUUCAUUUACUCAAAGAGGCGUAUAUACGCUGGCGAAGAAUUGACAUACAAUUACAAGUUUCCGUUGGAGGAGAAGAAAAUACCAUGCCACUGUGGUUCCCUGAGGUGCCGUGGAUCAAUGAACUAAGAAGUCAAGCUAAUAACCGAGGAGCUAACUGCAAUUGUAUGCAAUCGUACAUAAGUUUAAACGUGGAGGUUGCUGGGUGUAGCUACAUUUGCAUUGAAGUUUGACAACACAAACCCUUCUCUCAUAUUUUUGCUAACAGGAUUUUAUACCAAAGUACGGGAUUGUUGAACAUCCUGUUCUGGGAGAUUACAGUAAUUUUUUGGUGCUUUCUGCCUUUCUGGUGAAGAAGGCACUACGCCCUUUUUCUUGGCUAUCUGGAGGCAGAGAACCACCGUUGGUUUCCUCUGCCUUGUGGAAUACUGCCAUGGAGCUUUCCUGAGGUCUCCAAGUGGACAUGACAAAUCAGUUCGCCAUGGUUGAAGCUAGUGAAAAUGGUUACUUGCUGACAAGGUACACAAAUGUAUCAUCAUCACCUGUGGGGUACAAGUUUGUACGUACGUAUGUAGCUUCUGUGAAUUGUCCGGCCUCUGUGGUAUCUACAGGAAAAAAGACGUUUAGCAUCUUGCUUUGCCAGGAGCCACGCAUGCGCCAGUUUGGUCUUUUGGCUGGAUAUCCACUAGUGUAAGUGUGUUCUUCACUCGUUUGCUCGUUUAGUCCCAGCUGCUGCAGGUGGUGCGUGCCAAAGGCAAAGAACAGGAGCAGGUAAAGAAACCAAAGAAAAAGAGAGGUCCGCGUUGAUCUCAUUCUUCAAAAGGAAUUGGACAGCUCGUAUUAACUCUUACACAAGUUAAGCUGCCUGAAAGUAAUGAAACUAAAAAGGCGCUCCCAAGUCGACGCACCAAAAUUUUGGCCAAGGAUUGCCAAUAAUAUGCACAGGAAGUGGGUGAAAUGCUCUGGGCAUAACGAAGGUUUAGUUUGGGCACAACGCAGUUAGAUCCCCAAAGAGCCAAACAGGGCAAGAAAAGCUAUGGCUCUGUUGGCACUGCGAGAUGCAACGCAACCAUUGUUUGGUACUAUAAGAAUUUUCUCUGAUUUUGUAAACAAAGCAAAGCGAUCAAUAAAUAAAUUGCCAUAACCAAAAACCGGAGCCUAAUUCCCCUCUUUAUUGGCUUCUCAUGGAGGAUGGAGCAGCCCGAGCAAAAAUACGGACCGAAAUUUUGCAACAAUGUUGGAUAUAGGCCUUUUUUUUUAAUCUCUUUCUGUACCGUUUGGUUGAUCUGUUGGAAACGAAGAAGACCUGCAAGAGAGAAUCUUCAGGACGGGGGUCUGCCUUUAUGGGCCCAUUUGUGGACCAAAGAUUACGUAAAGAGAAACCCUGGCCCGAACCCUUGGACGAGAGCAAUGAACACCGAACAGUACUAGUACUCCUCUCAAAGGAGAGUCUACUACGAGUACAUUUUCUGUUUGUAAAUCCUACUGAGUUCAUUUUCCUAUUCCUGCAUUUCCAGAAUCAUGCGUUUCAAAGAUGCCAGUAUAUAGGUCUCCAAAACAGUAGGUAACACAAGAGUGUUGAUACUACCUUCUCUCGUGUAGCAUGGACUCCAGACUAAUAAUAAUAAUCUCAUUAUAGCCAGAUAGGCUUAGUGUAGAAACCUUUGUUUGCAACAAGUACUCUCUCCGCGUGCCACACAGUACAUGUUACACCCACCAUGAAAAGUCUUGAAAUAUAUUGACCAGAGAGGGUUUAUCUCUCUGUAAAAAAAGUCUUCUGAAAUGCAUCUUUAAACAUAAACUUUUUAGUCCAUAGCAACAUAUGGGUACUGUGCCAGUUACAAAGUAUAUUUCAUGAUGGAGGCGAAACCAUUGUUUACGAUCAUCGAUUUGCUGUUGAAAUAGUAUAUUUUUUAUAUCGAUGAAUGUUGUGUGCCUAAACCUGUAAUAAAAGUGAAUGCACUGCGAUUCGUUGAUAUUAUUUAUCUUGGGCUGCAUUGAAACAUGAGAUACUUUUUGAAGAACCAAACAGUUUGGACAAAAUUUCUAUUCCAAACAUGCAUGGUUCCUUAGCCAUUGUUAUUUGGAAUGAGGUAUACAGUGCUGCUGCUGCUUAGAGCCUUAAGAGUAGUUACAAAAUAAAGCAAAUAAAGAUCUUUUUGACAGUGUUAGCUAGAAGUGUUGUUGGUGUCACCGGCUUUGUUGCUCGGUUGGAAGAGCAUAGGGUGGCACGGGGUUCAAAUAAUUAAACGGGGAACUCCGUGCUCUCCUUAGGUCGGUUCGAAUCCGGCAGGUCGGCAAAUUUAACCUCUUUGUUGUUGCUUCGCUGUUAAUACUGUUUAUUUAGCUGGAUUAUGGACACGAUUUAACUAUGGUACUAUUGUUUAAACUCAAAUGUACAUCGAGGAGGGUUUGUUACCGAUGACCUGCUUAGCAUGCAAUGCAAGAAGGUAGAGACCCUAUUGGAAUUCCUGUCUUCUACAUGUAAAAUAGAGACAGCCUACAAGGUGCUUAUAGUAGUGUCGUUUUGCACUGUGGGGAUUAUUGAAUAUUUGAAUGUAACUGCUGUAAUUUAAAAGGCGGGAUGCGUCUGAGGGCAUGUUUUAUGAUCC